ACUCCUACGGGAGGCAGCAGUGGGAAUAUUGCACAAUGGGGAAGCCAUCGAUGCAGCCAUGCCGCGCUGUGUGAAGAAGGCCAAUUCGGGCUUGGUUAAAGACACUUUUCAGUAGGGAGGAAGGUAGUGUAGUUAACACCUGCAUUAUUUGACGUUACCUACAGAAGAAGCACCGGCUAACUCCGUGCCAGCAGCCGCGGUAAUACGGAGGGUGCGAGCGUUAAUCGGAAUUACUGGGCGUAAAGCGCAUGCAGGCGGCCUGUUAAGUCAGAUGUGAAAGCCCGGGCUUAAGCCUCGGAAUUGCAUUUGAAACUGGCAGGCUAGAGUCUUGUAGAGGGGUG
rnacentral:rRNA from 1 species